UACGGGGGGAGCAAGCGUUGUUCGGAUUUACUGGGCGUAAAGGACGCGUAGGCGGCCAGCGCAAGUCAGUUGUGAAAUCUCCGGGCUUAACUCGGAAAGGUCAACUGAUACUGCGCGGCUAGAGUGCAGAAGGGGCAACUGGAAUUCUCGGUGUAGCGGUGAAAUGCGUAGAUAUCGAGAGGAACACCUGCGGCGAAGGCGGGUUGCUGGGCUGACACUGACGCUGAUGCGCGAAAGCCAGGGGAGCGAACAGG
rnacentral:rRNA from 1 species